UACGUAGGGCGCAAGCGUUAUCCGGAAUUAUUGGGCGUAAAGAGCUCGUAGGCGGUUUGUCGCGUCUGCCGUGAAAGUCCGGGGCUCAACUCCGGAUCUGCGGUGGGUACGGGCAGACUAGAGUGAUGUAGGGGAGACUGGAAUUCCUGGUGUAGCGGUGAAAUGCGCAGAUAUCAGGAGGAACACCGAUGGCGAAGGCAGGUCUCUGGGCAUUAACUGACGCUGAGGAGCGAAAGCAUGGGGAGCGAAGCAGG
rnacentral:rRNA from 1 species